rnacentral:rRNA from 1 species
AAGGCUGAGGCGUGAUGACGAGGCACUACGGUGCUGAAGCGACAAAUGCCCUGCUUCCAGGAAAAGCCUCUAAGCAUCAGGUAACAUCAAAUCGUACCCCAAACCGACACAGGUGGUCAGGUAGAGAAUACCAAGGCGCUUGAGAGAACUCGGGUGAAGGAACUAGGCAAAAUGGUGCCGUAACUUCGGGAGAAGGCACGCUGAUAUGUAGGUGAAGCGACUUGCUCGUGGAACUGAAAUCAGUCGAAGAUACCAGCUGGCUGCAACUGUUUAUUAAAAACACAGCACUGUGCAAACACGAAAGUGGACGUAUACGGUGUGACGCCUGCCCGGUGCCGGAAGGUUAAUUGAUGGGGUUAGCGGUAACGCGAAGCUCUUGAUCGAAGCCCCGGUAAACGGCGGCCGUAACUAUAACGGUCCUAAGGUAGCGAAAUUCCUUGUCGGGUAAGUUCCGACCUGCACGAAUGGCGUAAUGAUGGCCAGGCUGUCUCCACCCGAGACUCAGUGAAAUUGAACUCGCUGUGAAGAUGCAGUGUACCCGCGGCAAGACGGAAAGACCCCGUGAACCUUUACUAUAGCUUGACACUGAACAUUGAGCCUUGAUGUGUAGGAUAGGUGGGAGGCUUUGAAGUGUGGACGCCAGUCUGCAUGGAGCCGACCUUGAAAUACCACCCUUUAAUGUUUGAUGUUCUAACGUUGGCCCCUAAUCGGGGUUGCGGACAGUGUCUGGUGGGUAGUUUGACUGGGGCGGUCUCCUCCUAAAGAGUAACGGAGGAGCACGAAGGUUGGCUAAUCCUGGUCGGACAUCAGGAGGUUAGUGCAAUGGCAUAAGCCAGCUUGACUGCGAGCGUGACGGCGCGAGCAGGUGCGAAAGCAGGUCAUAGUGAUCCGGUGGUUCUGAAUGGAAGGGCCAUCGCUCAACGGAUAAAAGGUACUCCGGGGAUAACAGGCUGAUACCGCCCAAGAGUUCAUAUCGACGGCGGUGUUUGGCACCUCGAUGUCGGCUCAUCACAUCCUGGGGCUGAAGUAGGUCCCAAGGGUAUGGCUGUUCGCCAUUUAAAGUGGUACGCGAGCUGGGUUUAGAACGUCGUGAGACAGUUCGGUCCCUAUCUGCCGUGGGCGCUGGAGAACUGAGGGGGGCUGCUCCUAGUACGAGAGGACCGGAGUGGACGCAUCACUGGUGUUCGGGUUGUCAUGCCAAUGGCACUGCCCGGUAGCUAAAUGCGGAAGAGAUAAGUGCUGAAAGCAUCUAAGCACGAAACUUGCCCCGAGAUGAGUUCUCCCUGACUCCUUGAGAGUCCUGAAGGAACGUUGAAGACGACGACGUUGAUAGGCCGGGUGUGUAAGCGCAGCGAUGCGUUGAGCUAACCGGUACUAAUGAACCGUGAGGCUUAACCUU